CCAAUUCGUUGCGACCCUGGGGGGCUACUGUUACUGGUAGUCAUCCGAGGUCGGCCAACAACAAAAUUUCUCAUGUGCAUUGAUUCCGCCUUGUGGUCGCGCUAUGGCCUCCCACCGCCGCCGCCACCCAGUUGCAUCAUGUGUGUUGCUUGUGUGGCGGGGGAUGUGUACAGGUCGCGGCCACAUACACCCAAUUUUGAACUUUUCAGACUGUCGAAAUCUGGCUGGGCUUGAAGAAGCCUGAGCUAUAAGGAAUAUA
rnacentral:misc_RNA from 1 species